ACCCUCGUACACGAAAGGCUGAAGAACGGGCUGGGAUCCAGAGUACCACGGGACACGAGGAACCCUGUGGGAAGCCGGGUGGACCACCAUCCAAGGCAAAAUACUACCUGACGACCGAUAGAGGAAAGUACCGUGAGGGAAAGGCGAAAAGAACCGCGGGAGCGGAGUGAAACAGAACCUGAAACCGUAUGUCCACAAGCAGUCGAAGCGCUUUAUAUGCGCGACGGCGUGCCUAUUGAAGAAUGAACCGGCGAGUUGUCCUGUCGAGCGAGGUUAAGCGGAAGACGCGGAGCCGAAGCGAAAGCGAGUCUUAAGAGGGCGCUUAGUUCGACGGGGCAGACCCGAAACCACAGUGAUCUAUGCAUGGCCAGGCUGAAACUCAGGUAAAAUUGAGCGGAGGGCCGAACCCGUGAGUGUUGAAAAACUUUGGGAUGAGCUGUGCAUAGGGGUGAAAUGCCAAUCGAACGUGGAGAUAGCUGGUUCUCCCCGAAAUAGCUUUAGGGCUAGCCUCGGGCGAUGCAUGCAGACGGUAGAGCACUGAUCGGGCAAGGGGGCGUAAAGCCUACCGACCCCAGUCAAACUGCGAAUGGCUGCAUGGCAAGCCCGGGAGUCAGCGUGCGAGUGAUAAGACCCGUACGCAAGAGGGAAACAGCCCAGACCGCCAGCCAAGGUCCCCAAUGCUGUACUAAGUGGAAAAGGAUGUAGGAAUUCGAAAACAACCAGGAUGUUGGCUCAGAAGCAGCCACCAUUUAAAGAGUGCGUAAUAGCUCACUGGUCGAGAGUCCCUGCGCCGAAAAUGUCCGGGGCUCAAGUACAGAACCGAAGCUGCGGCUGCACACGAAAGUGUGCGGGGUAGGGGAGCGUACCAUGCGCGGAGAAGCCGUACCGGAAGGAGCGGUGGAGCGCAUGGCAGUGAGAAUGCCGGUAUGAGUAGCGAAAAGGCCAGCAAGAAUCUGGCCCACCGAAAGCCUGAGGUUUCCUGGGCAACGCUCGUCGUCCCAGGGUCAGUCGGGACCUAAGCCGAGGCAGCAAGCAUAGGCGAUGGACAACUGGCAAACAUUCCAGUACCGCAGGGAGUCGUUCGAGUGAUGGAGUGACGCAGGAGGGAGCUUGGGCGCGCGAAUGGAAGAGCGCGUCGAAGCCGGUAGGCUGCAAGGGAGGCAAAUCCCCCUUGCAAAAGCCGAGACGUGACAGGGAGGCGAACCUUCGGGCGAGCCGAAGCCAAGCGGACCACACUGCCGAGAAAAGCUUCUAGCGAGACGAACUGCGCCCGUACCGAAACCGACACAGGCAGGCAGGGAGAGGAUCCUAAGGUGCGCGGGAAAACCCUCGUUAAGGAACUCUGCAAAUUGCAUCCGUAACUUCGGGAAAAGGAUGGCCGUUCCCGGUGAAGGCCCAUGCGGUUGGAGCCGGGGGCGGCGACAGAAGAGAAGCCCAAGCGACUGUUUACCACAAACACAGGUGCCUGCAAAAGAGAAAUCUGACGUAUAGGUGCUGACGCCUGCCCGGUGCUGGAAGGUUAAGGGGAGAGGUCAGGGGAAACCCGAAGCCUUGAGCUGAAGCCCCAGUAAACGGCGGCCGUAACUAUAACGGUCCUAAGGUAGCGAAAUUCCUUGUCGGGUAAGUUCCGACCCGCACGAAAGGCGUAACGAUUUG
rnacentral:rRNA from 1 species